ensembl:lncRNA
UCCAUGUCGAUCCAGGUCAGUGGGCUUUUUCCCAAUGUGGCACUAUAAAAUGAGUAUGAAAAUUAUUUCUAGCAUAGAAUUAUCCAAGUAUUAUUAAAAUGCAAUAGAGUUUAGCUUUCCCUCUGUUUUUUUUUACAUUUAUAAUAUACCCUGGUGCUGCCAUCCCCAACACAUUCACCUCACCAUAGAUCUCUUCAAAACAGAUUUGUGAGUCUAUCCGAGACAAAUAACCGGAGUUGGAGAAGGUGAGCCAUGCUGUUUUGACACACUGUUAGAACAUGAUGUUACAGAGUCAGACACCUGACUUGGGAAAAAGGUCAUCUGUUCAUCAUAGAUCAAAGUGGAGGACAGCACCUCUCAAAACAGUGGCGGAGAGCGGGCAGGAGGAGAUAAAAUGAAAUCUUCACAACAGGACUGAUGGACAUGUGGCUCAAAUACACCCUCCUGUGAGCUGUAGGGAGGGUGGGUGUCCUGCUGGCAGAUGUCUCUUCUAGUUUCAGAUGCUGCUUGACAAGAUUGCUCUGAGAUGGGGAAGACCAAAGCGGACUGGUACAACAUAUCCGUUUGCUCCUGACCUCAAUCAACAAACCCUCUCCAUCCCAUUCCGUGAGGACCAAUACAAGGAUGUCACUGGCAGACCUCGCCUUGCUUUUGAUUUAUGUUGCUCUAAAAGUAAAAAUCAAAGAUCCUCUCUAAUGCAGCGCUGUGGCAGUGGGAUGAUAUAUGAUGCAGCUGAGCAGUUAAAUGAGAGCACUAUGUCUCUGCCUGCAUUUUAAUGGCACGGUCAGAACUCUGACCCCACAUCUGAAUGACUUUACAGUACUUAAAAAGACAUCCUCAGACAGUGCUGAUUUGUAAAGAAAGUCCUCAGGGCAAGCUUGUUUUGGUCAUGCAGUUUUGAUUACUCAAGAGACUGUUUGCAGGAAAUACAACAGAGACACCCACAACAAACUUCUUUUAUUGGUUUUCAGUAGAAUUCAACAUUGAAAGGCUUACAGAAUUGCAAAACACUGUGAAAGAAAUUAACAUUUUUACUUCUUGUAGAAAAUGUUAUUUUGGUGCUCAUUGUUUGAUUUCUGCAAAUAUGUCUAACACAUUAAAAUAUUAAAAUGGCAG